CCUACGGGAGGCAGCAGUGGGGAAUUUUGGACAAUGGGCGCAAGCCUGAUCCAGCCAUGCCGCGUGCAGGAUGAAGGCCUUCGGGUUGUAAACUGCUUUUGUACGGAACGAAAAGACUCUGGUUAAUACCUGGGGUCCAUGACGGUACCGUAAGAAUAAGCACCGGCUAACUACGUGCCAGCAGCCGCGGUAAUACGUAGGGUGCGAGCGUUAAUCGGAAUUACUGGGCGUAAAGCGUGCGCAGGCGGUUAUAUAAGACAGAUGUGAAAUCCCCGGGCUCAACCUGGGAACUGCAUUUGUGACUGUAUAGCUAGAGUACGGCAGAGGGGGAUGGAAUUCCGCGUGUAGCAGUGAAAUGCGUAGAUAUGCGGAGGAACACCGAUGGCGAAGGCAAUCCCCUGGGCCUGUACUGACGCUCAUGCACGAAACGACGGUGGGGAGGACGAAACAAGGAGUUAGUAUACCCUACGGUAGUACCGACCGACCCGUAAACCGAACUAGUCACUAGGUUGGUUGGGUUCGUUCUACUGACUCAGUAACGAAGACUACGCGUGAGUUAGACCGCCGUCGGGAGGUACGGCCGCGAGGUUAGAACGUACGAAAGGAAAGUUAGUACGGCGUGAGACGUGCCGACGGACGACGACGAGGGGAGGAGGG
rnacentral:rRNA from 1 species